rnacentral:rRNA from 1 species
GUUGGCUGCCCCUCAUUGACCUUGCUUGAGCUCCAAAGUUAAGCAGGGUAGUGCCUGGUUAAUGCUUGGAUGGGCGACCUCCUGGCAAUUCAGGUGCUGUAGGCU